AACACAUGGACCUUGUUCUUGGCUGACGAGCGGCGGACGGGUGAGUAAUGUCUGGGAAACUGCCUGAUGGAGGGGGAUAACUACUGGAAACGGUAGCUAAUACCGCAUAACGUCGCAAGACCAAAGAGGGGGACCUUUGGGCCUCUUGCCAUCAGAUGUGCCCAGAUGGGAUUAGUUAGUAGGUGGGGUAANGGCUCACCUAGGGGACNAUCCCUAGCUGGUCUGAGAGGAUGUCCAGCCCCACUGGAAUUGAGACACGGUCCAGAUUCUUACGGGAGGCACCAGUGGGGAUUAUUGCACAAUGGGCGCAAUCCUGAUGCAGCCAUCCCGCGUGUAUGAAGAAGGCCUUCGGUUUGUAAAGUACUUUCAGCGGGGAGGAAGGCAUUAAGGUUAAUAACCUUGGUGAUUGACGUUACUCGCAGAAGAAGCACCGGCUAACUCCGUGCCAGCAGCCGCGGUAAUACGGAGGGUGCAAGCGUUAAUCGGAAUUACUGGGCGUAAAGCGCUCGCAGGCGGUUUGUCAAGUCGGAUGUGAAAUCCCCGGGCUCAACCUGGGAACUGCAUUCGAAACUGGCAGGCUAGAGUCUUGUAGAGGGGGGUAGAAUUCCAGGUGUAGCGGUGAAAUGCGUAGAGAUCUGGAGGAAUACCGGUGGCGAAGGCGGCCCCCUGACAAGACUACCGUGAGGUCAAAGGG
rnacentral:rRNA from 1 species